rnacentral:rRNA from 1 species
GACGAACGCUGGCGGAGUGCAUCAAACAUGCAAGUCGAACGGAAAAGAACAGAAUAAGUGGGGAAAAAAAGAGACAAACAAGUAAAUAACAAGUGACACACAUGCCCUUGACUUUGGGAUAACUUCAGGAAACUGGGGCUAAUACCGGAUAGGAGCUCCUGCUGCAUGGUGGGGGUUGGAAAGUUUCGGCGGUUGGGGAUGGACUCGCGGCUUAUCAGCUUGUUGGUGGGGUAGUGGCUUACCAAGGCUUUGACGGGUAGCCGGCCUGAGAGGGUGACCGGCCACAUUGGGACUGAGAUACGGCCCAGACUCCUACGGGAGGCAGCAGUGGGGAAUAUUGCACAAUGGGCGGAAGCCUGAUGCAGCAACGCCGCGUGCGGGAUGACGGCCUUCGGGUUGUGAACCGCUUUCGCCUGUGACGAAGCGUGAGUGACGGUAAUGGGUAAAGAAGCACCGGCUAACUACGUG